GACGAACCGUGCGAACGUUGUUCGGAAUCACUGGGCUUGAAGGGCGCGUAGGCGGCAGAUCAAGUCCGGGGUGAAAUCCUCCAGCUCAACUGGAGAAGUGCCUUGGAUACUGAUGUGCUCGAGGGAGGUAGGGGUCCGCGGAACUUCUGGUGGAGCGGUGAAAUGCGUUGAUAUCAGAAGGAACGCCGGUGGCGAAAGCGGCGGACUGGAUCUCUUCUGACGCUGAGGCGCGAAAGCUAGGGGAGCAAACGGG
rnacentral:rRNA from 2 species